rnacentral:sRNA from 1 species
GCUGGGUGUGGUGGUUCAUGCCUGUAAUCCCAGCAACUCAGGAGGCUGAGGCAAGAGAAUCACAAGUUCAAGGCCAGCCUCACCAACUGUAGUGAGGCCCUAAGCAACUUUGUGAGACUCUGUCUCAA